UGGAGUUUCUCCGUCAGCUGGAGUCAGAGGAUGCUGUUUCCGUGUGGUUGCCUUGGCAACAGUUGCCGGUCUGAUCGGGGGUGGAGGUGCAGUUCGUUUAAGGUGUCUGAUGCAGACUGAAGGAAACCACAGGAGCUUCAUCUCACAUCUGAACCAACAACUUAAGCUCUGCUGCGAGUGGAGUACAUCUUUAUGACUCCAGCGGCGUGUCGCAGAUCCUUCUGAUCAACCUCAGCUUUCAGGACUAGGAUCUUGAAUUCAGGAUGCUGACCUGUGACCUCUGCAUCUCUGACCUCUUGUACUGAUGUCAGUUUGUGGGACGGAUCCUAAAA
rnacentral:lncRNA from 1 species